rnacentral:misc_RNA from 1 species
GAACGCACCUUGCGCCCUUUGGCUAUUCCGAAGGGCAUGCCUGUUUGAGUAUCAUGAACACCUCAACUCUCAUGGUUUGCCAUGAUGAGCUUGGACUUUGGAGGUCUUGCCGGCCUGCGGUCGGCUCCUCUCAAAUGGAUCAGCUUGCCAGUGUUUGGUGGCAUCAUGGGUGUGAUAACUAUCUACGCCUGUGGUUUUCCACCAGAUAACCUUCAGUGAUGGAGGUUCGCUGGAGCUCAUAAAUGUCUCUCCUCAGUGAAGACAGCUUUUUGAACGUUUGAUCUCAAAUCAGGUAGGACUACCCGCUGAACUUAAG